CCUACGGGAGGCAGCAGUGGGGAAUAUUGCACAAUGGGGUAAACCCUGAUGCAGCGACGCCGCGUGAGUGAAGAAGUAUUUCGGUAUGUAAAGCUCUAUCAGCAGGGAAGAAAAUGACGGUACCUGACUAAGAAGCCCCGGCUAACUACGUGCCAGCAGCCGCGGUAAUACGUAGGGGGCAAGCGUUAUCCGGAUUUACUGGGUGUAAAGGGAGCGUAGACGGCAGCACAAGUCUGGAGUGAAAUGCCGGGGCUUAACCCCGGAACUGCUUUGGAAACUGUGCAGCUAGAGUGCAGGAGAGGUAAGUGGAAUUCCUAGUGUAGCGGUGAAAUGCGUAGAUAUUAGGAGGAACACCAGUGGCGAAGGCGGCUUACUGGACUGUAACUGACGUUGAGGCUCGAAAGCGUGGGGAGCAAACAGGAUUAGAUACCCUAGUAGUC
rnacentral:rRNA from 1 species